rnacentral:tRNA from 1 species
UCCCUCAUAGCUAAGUUGGUAAAGAACCUGCCUGCAAUGCAGGAGACCCGGGUUCAAUUCCUGGGUUGGGAA